rnacentral:tRNA from 2 species
CUCGAGGUCGUCUAGUUGGUUUAUGGCGCCAGACUGUAAAUCUGGAUGUCAGCGGUUCGACUCCGCUUCUCGAGA